rnacentral:rRNA from 1 species
AUUGAACGCUGGCGGCAGGCCUAACACAUGCAAGUCGAGCGGAUGAAGAGAGCUUGCUUCCCGAUUUAGCGGCGGACGGGUGAGUAAUGCCUAGGAAUCUGCCUAUUAGUGGGGGAUAACGUUCCGAAAGGAACGCUAAUACCGCAUACGUCCUACGGGAGAAAGCGGGGGAUCUUCGGACCUCACGCUACUAGAUGAGCUUAGGUCGGAUUAGCUAGUUGGUGGGGUAACGGCUCACCAAGGCGACGAUCCGUAGAUGGUCUGAGAGGAUGAUCAGCCACACUGGAACUGAGACACGGUCCAGACUCCUACGGGAGGCAGCAGUGGGGAAUAUUGGACAAUGGGCGAAAGCCUGAUCCAGCCAUGCCGCGUGUGUGAAGAAGGUCUUCGGAUUGUAAAGCACUUUAAGUUGGGAGGAAGGGUUGUAAGCUAAUAUCUUGCAGCUUUGACGUUACCAACAGAAUAAGCACCGGCUAACUCUGUGCCAGCCGCCGCCGUAAGAC